UACAGAGGUCUCAAGCGUUGUUCGGAUUCAUUGGGCGUAAAGGGUGUGUAGGUGGCGCGCUAAGUCGGGUGUGAAAUUUCGGAGCUUAACUCCGAAACUGCAUUCGAUACUGCCGUGCUUGAGGACUGGAGAGGAGACUGGAAUUUACGGUGUAGCGGUGAAAUGCGUAGAUAUCGUAAGGAAGACCAGUGGCGAAGGCGGGUCUCUGGACAGUUCCUGACGCUGAGGCACGAAGGCCCAGGGGAGCAAACGGG
rnacentral:rRNA from 1 species